rnacentral:rRNA from 1 species
AGCAGCCGCGGUAAUUCCAGCUCCAAUAGCGUAUAUUAAAGUUGUUGCAGUUAAAAAGCUCGUAGUUGAAUUUCGGGAUCAAAUUGUCGGUCGUGCCUCGGUACGUACUGGUAUUAUUGGUUCCUCCCUUCUGACGAACCACGAUGUCAUUAAUUUGGUGUCAUGGGAAAUCAGGACUGUUACUUUGAAAAAUUAGAGUGUUUAAAGCAGGCUCGCGCUUGAAUACAUUAGCAUGGAAUAAUGAAAUAGGACGUUUGAUUCUAUUUUGUUGGUUUCUAGGAUCGACGUAAUGAUUAAUAGGGAUAGUUGGGGGCAUUAGUAUUCAAUUGUCAGAGGUGAAAUUCUUGGAUUUAUUGAAGACUAACUACUGCAAAAGCAUUUGCCAAGGAUGUUUUCAUUAAUCAAGAACGAAAGUUAGGGGAUCGAAGACGAUCAGAUACCGUCGUAGUCUUAACCAUAAACUAUGCCGACUA